CAUGUAUGCUGUUCAACAACGAUAUUGAACUCAGCUCACUAUUGGCUUCCAUUUAUUUGAAGUGAACGACGAUGUCCCUCUAUUUGAAAAGACCUUUCUUCCACACCUAUCCUUCCUUCAACCUGCUGUUGGAAUCAGGUCCCUUAACUACAGAGAAUUCAAUGGUACCCCAAUCCCAUACACGUCAAACUUUGAUUAAAGAAUGUCUUACUCUGACCAAGGAUCUCAGAGCCCCCAGAUGAACCUCAAGACAUGGUUGGCCAUUUUUCUUUACCAUUUGUGGGAUAAAAAAGCUGAAAAUAGCCAGGAGCGGUGGCUCCCACCUGUAAUUCCAGCACUUUGGAAGGCUGAGGCAGGUGGAUCGUGUGAGCUCAGACAUUCGAGAUCAGCCUGGGCAACAUGGUGCAACCCUGUUUCUAUAACAAGUACAAACAUAAGCCAGG
rnacentral:lncRNA from 1 species